rnacentral:rRNA from 1 species
UACGUAGGGGGCAAGCGUUGUCCGGAUUUAUUGGGCGUAAAGAGCGUGUAGGCGGCCAAGUAGGUCUGCUGUGAAAACUCGAGGCUCAACCUCGAGACGUCGGUGGAAACCGUCUGGCUAGAGUCCGGAAGAGGAGAGUGGAAUUCCCGGUGUAGCGGUGAAAUGCGCAGAUAUCGGGAAGAACACCCGUGGCGAAGGCGGCUCUCUGGGACGGUACUGACGCUGAGACGCGAAAGCGUGGGGAGCGAACAGG